UAUAGUUCUCCACCACCACCAUAUUACUCACCCUCACCUAAAGUAGAUUACAAGUCUCCACCACCACCGUAUGUUUACAGCUCCCCACCACCACCAUACUAUUCACCUUCUCCAAAGCCCACAUACAAAUCACCACCACCUCCAUAUGUUUACAAUUCUCCACCACCACCAUACUACUCACCAUCCCCUAAGGUCGAAUACAAAUCUCCACCACCUCCAUACGUCUAUAGCUCUCCACCCCCACCAUACUACUCACCCUCACCUAAAGUAGAUUAUAAGUCUCCACCACCACCGUAUGUUUACAACUCUCCACCACCACCAUACUAUUCACCUUCUCCAAAACCCACAUACAAGUCCCCACCACCACCAUAUAUUUACAGCUCUCCACCACCACCAUACUAUUCUCCUUCUCCUAAACCAGUAUACAAAUCUCCACCACCACCAUACGUCUAUUCCUCUCCACCACCACCAUACUAUUCACCUUCUCCUAAACCAGCAUACAAAUCUCCACCACCACCGUAUGUUUAUAGCUCUCCACCUCCUCCAUACUACUCGCCUUCUCCUAAACCCAUAUACAAGUCUCCACCACCACCGUACGUCUACAACUCUCCUCCACCACCAUACUACUCUCCUUCUCCAAAACCGGCAUACAAAUCUCCACCACCACCAUACGUAUACAGCUUUCCACCUCCUCCAUACUACUCGCCUUCUCCUAAACCCGUAUACAAGUCUCCACCACCACCAUACGUCUACAACUCUCCUCCACCACCAUACUACUCUCCUUCUCCAAAACCGGCAUACAAAUCUCCACCACCACCAUACGUAUACAGCUCUCCAC
rnacentral:lncRNA from 1 species